rnacentral:rRNA from 2 species
GGCUCAGAACGAACGCUGGCUCCAGGCCUAACACAUGCAAGUCGAGCGGCCGUAGCAAUACGGCAGCGGCAGACGGGAGAGUAACACGUGGGAACGUGCCUUUCGGUUCGGAACAACCCAGGGAAACUUGGGCUAAUACCGGAUACGCCCUUACGGGGAAAGAUUUAUUGCCGAAGGAACGGCCCGCGUCCGAUUAGCUAGUUGGUGAGGUAAUGGCUCACCAAGGCGACGAUCGGUAGCUGGUCUGAGAGGAUGACCAGCCUCACUGGGACUGAGACACGGCCCAGACUCCUACGGGAGGCAGCAGUGGG